rnacentral:lncRNA from 1 species
GGUAACAUCCCGUGAGGUCGGCAACGCGGUGGUGGUUUCUGUAACUUGAGGAUGGUAACUUGUUUAUUUUGCCUUGGUAUGGGGGAGUUUGUAGGCUUCUGUCUGUGAAGAGAGUCAUCUGGGGCUGUAGGCCGCUGCGGGUGUUGGAGGUUUUUCUUUUUCAGGGUUGUGUCCUCUUGCAUCUUGUCUGAAGCUUUUGAGGGCAGACUGCCAAGGCCCAGAAGAAUGGUAGAUGGCAAGUUGUCUUAACCCGAUCUGAGGGAAAAUGAAUGGUAGAGCCAACAGUCUCGCCAGUUUUGUCUGUCUAGAAUCCUAAAGGCAGAUGACUCAAGGGAACCAGGAAA